rnacentral:lncRNA from 1 species
AGAAUUGGAUUCUUGUGUUGACUAUUAAGUCAAUUCCCAUUAUCGUCGCUUUUCUGUGUUUUUUCUUUUCGUGAAGUCCAAGCUUCUUUCAAGCAAUCGCCAGCUCUUCCGAGGAACAAUCUCUCUCUCUCUUUCCUCUCUGUAGCGGCUGUUAUUAUUGAAGUCAAAGCUUUUUUCCAUUGAACAUUCACUCUCUCUAUCUCUUCUCUGAAAAAAAUUACUCAAUGGAAUGGAAUAAUCGCAGUCAUCUAAUUUCACAUUUAAUGGUCAAUAUUAAUGUGGUCAUCUUGUAUCACAAAUAAAUGGUCUCAUUCCAUACUUUGCCCUCUCUCUAAUUUUAUAGAUCCGUCUCUCUCUGUCUCUUGUUUGACCAGAGUGUUGAAGUUCUCUUUGCCGGGGUGUUUGUAAACUCGGCUGUUUUUAUUCGUAGCCGGCCAGUUAAAUUGGAAUCGGGUACUGGUUGAUCCAGUUUUGGUGGUUCGAUCAGAGGUAUUUUUAAAAAAAAAAUAAAAAAAUUUAAAUAAAUAAGGGAUUUGUUUGUAAUAUAUCUUUUAUUUAUUUAUCAUUUUGGCAAAAGAAAGUGUUUUGGUCAUGAAUACUUAUUUUUUACAUUUUUCCAUUUUUAAAAAAAUUACAAAAACACCUUUGAGCACAAAUCCAUUUUUUUAAAUUCAUUUUUUUCAUUAUUUUUCAAAUUUGUUUUGUUUAUUCAUGUUUUAAAUAUAUUUUUCAUAUUUUUUAAAAAAAUUUCAAUUUUUUAUUUUUUAACACUUUUUAGAUCGACUUUGGACUUUUUCCCUGUUAGGCUAGUUGACCGGCCUGGCCGGUUUGAUUUUUCGAAGACCGCUCUCUACCUCUUUGGGCUUCUCGGGAUGACAAAAGGCACUCGUGGAAUAAACGCAUAUACCGUUUGUUAUCCAGGUGGCAAGGUUCUUUUGAAAGCUUCUUCGCUAUUAUCAUUAUUAUUUUUCAAAAAAAUAAAAAAGGAAAAAUUGCAUAUCAGAAGGGAUAUUUGAUUAAAAGUUUGAAACUAAUUUUAAAAUUCAAGUCUUUUAUGCGCUAUUGUUUAUUCAAGAGCAUGUGAUACUGUGCUCCUUUUAAAAAUUAAAGUUUUUUUAUGAAGUCAUGCGCUAUUAGACAUUCCAAGAGCAUGUAUACCAUGCGCAUGGUCUACUUGUACUUUCUCAGUCAGAAGACCCACUUGAGAUAAUUUUUUUCAAUCUCAAAUUUUGACAACAGCUUAAGAAUUAUUAGAUAAUUAUUUUAAAAAAAAUUUAAAAUUUGAAUUUUUUAAAACUUAGAUAUCACCAUCUAAAAUUCGGAUGGUCUUUAUUCAAGCUCACAACAUUAAUUUUUUCGAGUGAACAAAGGAUACAAUUAAGAUUUUUUUUUUUUCAUUGAGGUUAAUCCAUGAAUUGAAGGAGUUGCAGCCCCAAAAUUUGGGAUCCUAAAAACAAUUCGAAGUGGGGUUUUACUCGAGGAAGUAAAUAGAUAUUUUACUUUUAUUGGACUUUGGCUUUAUUUAAAAAAUCUUCUAUGGAAACUUGGGUGUCUUGAAACCAAUGUUUGUAAAAUCAAAUCGGAACGGUUAACCGGACAUGAGCAGGGAAGCGAUUUAACCGGCCUAACCGGUAAACUGGCCGAUUCAACCACUCUAACCGGGCAAGUUCCAAAUGAUUAAAAAAGUGUUGAAAAUAAUAAAAAAUAUAAAAAAACUAUUAAAAUAUGAAAAGCAUAUAAAAAAUGUGAUUAAAACAAAAUACACUCAAAUGAAGUUGAAAAUUAAUGAAAAAAAUGGAUUUUAACGAAUCGAUUUGUGCCUGGGGGUAUUUUUAAUUUUUUUUAAAAAAGAUGGGAAAAUAUAAAAGUAAAUAUCAAUGACCAAAAAAAUUUUAAUCUUUACCAUAAUGUAAAAAAUAUUAAAAUAGUGUUAAAAAAAUCGACUUGACCAACUCUUUUGUUAAAAGAAAAUAAAGAAAAACUUAAGGUACAUAUAAUAUAAACUAUGCUAAUGUAUUUGAUAUAAAUUUGAAGUAGUGUUUUCUUUUAAAAUUUAAAAUAUCGGUUGAUCACCAAAACCGCCUAUAAUCGGACCAACCGGUUAGCGGUUAGAUCGGCCGGUUUUGCGAACAGUACUUGAAACCUAUACUUACAAAUAGACUUAAAAUUUGAAUGAGCAUUGAAUUCUCGUACACCACCUUUACAACUCCCAGCCAUCAGAUGUUAACAAGGACGGCUUAGGUGAGUCCCUGAAAUAAAAUUUAAAAAAGUUUAAAAGGAUGAAUGAUACACCGCAGCGGCGAUGGGUUUUGAGGGCCACUCCACGCGUCCACUGAUCACAUCGAAGGGUUGAGAUGAUGUCAAGAAACUCAUUGUGCUCAUAACAAGUGAACCCACAUAUUUAUAUUCACAUAAAAAAUAUAUCACAUACAUAUUUCAAAGACCCCAGAAAUAUGGAGAAAAAAAGAAAAGAGGCUUCAUGCAUUGGAAAUUUAAUAUUAGAAAUAUGUUAAAUUUACGAUUACACUGAAUUUAUGGCACAAUGGAGAAUGAGGAAGCUAAUGGACUUCUUGAGCAAAGAGGAAAUGGAAAUUCAUCAAAAAAAAAUUAAAACAAUUUUACAGCAGAAACAAUUAAUCUCACCUAAGCUUAGCCCCUACCCCCACUGUAUUCAGCGUAUCAGAAAGUCAAAGUGGAGAGAGAAAGAAGAAAUGUCUUAACUUCUAGAGAGAGAGAGAGGGGAGAUGGUUUGCAAUCACCCCAUCUAGAGAGAGAAAGAGUUGGGGGGAGAAAGCAGAGGCAAUUCAGAGGAGGCUCUGUUUUGUGUGGUCCUCAUUAGAGAGAGAAGGUGGGGGUGGGGGUGGAGCUGUAGGGGGUUUCUUGAGAAAGAAGAAAAGAGAGGAGAGAGGAGAGAGAAGCAUCUUCAAACUCCUUUUAAACACCUCACCUCUCUUUGGAAUGAGGCGUGGAGGCGUUUUGCUCUUCUUCUUCUCCUUCACUGUAAUAAAUUUGGAAUUUGGGUUAAAGGGAGGAGCCAUCUGAGAAGC